UGUUGCAGCUUCUCUAGAUGAUGGAGAUAUAUAUUUAUGGUGGUUCACUUCCUUCCCAUUAAUGUUUAGGAUGAUGCUGAGUUAUGGACAAAAACGAUGGCAAAGAAGUCCUCUUCUUAUUGCUAUGUGCUACUGAAGUGUGAAGGAUUAUGACCUAAACCAUGGAGUACUCCUCUUCUUGCUUUCUGUGCUACUGAAGUUGAAACUCGACAAGGCACCAAAAUUCAAAGAAGCACCCGUUGAACAUUAAGGUACUUGUCAUUCCCUCAUCCCAACAAUUCCCUUCCACAGGUGUGUGUUCGUGUGUUCCAGCCAGAUUAUUUGGAGGAUGACGUAGAUUCAGACCAAAAAUGGUCGCGGGUGGUCGUUCUUACAGUGACAACAUCAAACCGAUUUUUAAAGGCGUGUGCGUGUGCAUGUUCCAAAUCUCAUUUGAAUUUUUGCCUUUACUCAG